AGUGCGAGGCGCCUCCAACUAAAGCUGGAAGAAAAAGAAAAAAAACAUACACACAGUCGGUUUGACUCUUUUUGUGCCUCUAAAGCCGACAUUUCUGCUUUGAGGAUUCAAAAUCUAACGAUAAUUGAGAUAUUGCUCGGGUAGUUUCAGUGUUUAAAUCACUUCUUAAAGUAGAGCAAAGACUCGGAGCUACAAGUGAAGUUCUUGUCGAUCCUGGUGGAGCCUCCUGCCAUGGUCCUGCUAGAUUGCCAUUACCAAUACUGUUGUUGCUGUGCACCUGUCUGUCUGUCUGUCUGUCUCUCGCUCUCUCUCUGUCUCUCGCUCUCUCUCUCACCCCAACUGGUUGAGACAGACGACCACCCACCUAGAGCCGAAGGAUCUGUCCUAGGUUUCUGCCUUUUAACAGGCAGUUUUUCCUUGCCCUUGUCGCCAAGUGCUUGCUCAUGGUGGAACUGUUGGGUCUCUGUAAAUAAUGUUAUAAAGAGUUCGGUCUAGACCUGCUCUAUUUGAAAAGUGUCCUGAUAUAACUUCUGUUAUGAAUUGGCGCUAUACAAAUAAAAUUGAAUUGAAUUGAAUUGAAUUGAAUUGAAUUAUAUUAACACUUUCAGCUAAUACCUUCAAAAUAAAAUAAUCCAAAGAGGAUUCACCAUUAGGAAUCCUAAUAUGCUGUCCAAGUAUGUAAAUUUAAACAUUUAUUGUUGGAUGUCUGUUCAAAUGCAACAGAGAGCUGUGUUGUACAUAAAAAAAGAAAUAAAACAAAUUACUAUCUUAAAGAAUAAUAAUGAUCAAACUAGAUAAUCUAAGUGUCCUCAACCUUGUUUUUGUCCUACGGCACCAGAAAAAAACAAAUAAAUGAAUCCUACUACAAGUAAACAAUGACACUUGGUGUAAUGGAUGCAACAUACUCAAAACCAGAUCCAGCCAACAUCAGAGCCACAGUGCCAGUUGUUCUAGUGUCACUCAAUAAAAGUAACAGCAGGUUGGAACUGAAGAUGUGUAAUGAUCUUUUAAUUUUACAUCCUAAAACCUGUUAAAUAUAACUGAACAAUAUUAGUGUGUGAAUACUGUGAAGAGGAUAUGGUGCUACUUUGUGUCCUCUGUCACACAAUGGAAAAAUAAUGAGAGGUGGGGGGCAGAUGGAUGCAGAGACCAAACAAAAAAGUUAUGUAUCAGUUAUAUCUCUGAUGCUGAAUAUCUAAUAUAAAGGGAAAUACUUCAACUAAUUUACAAAACCUCUAAAUAAAUUCUUUAUAGCCAACAGCUGAAUUGCAUUUUUGAGGAUAUUCUUUCCACUUUUUGUUGCAUUACUAUUUUCACCACUACAGGGGUACUAGUAUGAAACAUAGAAGAUAGAUUUGUCUGCCAACAAACAAAAGAAAGUUCAAUAAAAGUGCACUACAUGUCAUUCAUUACCACGUGCCCAAACUGCAAAAGGGUUUUCUCUACACCUGUGGGUGGCAAAACUGUUUCUGAAGUGCUGUUAGUUCCCUUCCUUAAAGUGUAAAACUGGUCUGACAAUGACCGAAUCUCUUGAGAAUCUGCUAAACGAGAACGAGCAUGCUUCCUCUUUCCACAUAUCAGAUACCGAGAGGUAUUUCACAUUUAAAAAACAAAAACAAAACAAGAGACAGAGUUUCGUUUAUUUUUUAUUUUCUAUAAAAGAGAUGAGUUUAUUCAAUGAUCAUAACAGACUGAAUCAGAGACCUCGAUAGACCACUCACAUACCAAACGAUAAUCGAGGAAAAUGUUUCAACAGAACCCCCAAAACAGAACAAAUGUAACACAAAAUAAAAUACCUGAAUAAAGCAAACUCUCGGCUGAGCUGCGGGUCAGCACAUUCUCUGUAGAACUCAUGGCACAUUAUGUCCAACAGUUAUUGUGAAAAGGAAAAAAAAAAAAAAAAAAAAGACUAAAAA